GUUGAGCGACCUGCAGGUUUGGGGUCCUCUCUCCGACCUGUGAAACCUGCUUCGCGACCAAAUCGUCCCAGUCUUUUUGCUUCUUCCAGUCUCACAACUGGUGGAGACUCAGAUGCCAACUUGAGUGAAGAAGAGAAACAGAAACUGGAGAAGUUGCAGCAGAUAAGAGUGAAAUUUUUGAGGCUUGUUCACAGGCUGGAUCAUUCUCCAGAGGAGUCAAUAGCUGCACAGGUUCUAUAUCGUUUGGCCCUUGUUGCAGGGAGGCAAACCAAUCAGCUGUUUAGCCUUGAAGCUGCAAAGAGGACAGCUUUGCAGCUUGAAGCAGAGGGGAAGGAUGAUUUGGACUUUUCCUUGAACAUACUUGUCCUUGGGAAA
rnacentral:misc_RNA from 1 species